AAAUACUGAAAGUUAACACAAUACAACAAAUGAGUACAAUAUAUAGACUUUGUUGCGACGCGCAACCCGAUCCUACCAUACUUCACAAUCCUCUCAUAUUUCAUCACAUCAAUAUCAAGAAUAACUUAUAAAAUGUAUUACAACGCGCAACCCGAUCCCGCCAUAUAUAAAAUAAGAAUCACUAUCAUAAUCCUCCUUUAUUUUAAAAUCACAUAUAACAUUUGUUACGGCGUGCAACCCGAUCUCACCAUAUCAAUAUCUAUAUCAAUCAUCCAUUACUUCACUCGUUGCACCGUGCAAUCCGAUCUAUAAACAAAAUCAGUAAAUGUAAUCAAUUUAACAACUCAAUUCACGUGAAUCUCUACGAUUAAAGAAUGUGAAAGCAAAGCAAUAAGGAACCUCAUACCAAAUCAAGGAAUGUUACAAUUAACACAAAGUGACAAGACAAGCCAAAUAUAUGAGUUAUAUUAUACAAGUAAGAUAAUUAAGGCGAUUAAAAAUUAAUCAUGAAAUUAUGGAAAAAACAAACAUUUCAAUACAAGAGUAAAUAGAUGAUAGGUAACAAGUUACGGCAUAGAAAGCAAUUAAAACAUAUAAUAAUUAAGACAAGGAAUAAGAUAAUUAAUGUAGUACGGGAAAGCAUAGGGACAAUCGCUUUGACAGCAUAUAUACACCUAUCACCUCGCAUAUACUCCAUUACACAUGUAAUUCACAUAACAUAUAGUUCAAGAGUUCCUAAUUCCCUCAAAUCAAGAAUAGACUCAACACUUAUCUUGCACCGCAAUUAAAUCAAAGCUCAACCGAGGGUUUAUUUCUAAAAUUAGCCUCCCAACCAAUCGAAUCUAACAAAAUCGACUUUAUAUCAACAAACAAUGCUAGGGAAAUCAAUUAUAAUACAUAAAGUUAGGAUCUUUAUGCUUUUCCCGAAAAGUCAACAAAUGUCAAUCCCGAACCUGCUUGGUCAAAACAUGAUAUUCGGACCAAAACCGAUUACUCAGUCAACCCCCGAGCCCGAUUAUACUAUUAGUUUCGAAAUGCGACCUCAAUUUGAAGUAUAAAUUUUUAUUUUACAAAAAAUUUAAAUUAUACCAAAAUCCCUAAGUUUUAACAUGAAAAUCCUAGAUUUAAUGUUGAAAAUACGUAGAAAGUAAUGAGUAAUUGAAAAAAAAAUAUGGAAGUUUCUUAUCAUUUUUUUGGGAAAAAAAUCUUCUUAGAAAAUUGCCUCUAGGAUGUUUAGGGUUUAGAAUUUGUGAAAAAUAAGCUAAAUCCCGUAUUCCCAAUUUUUUGUUCUGGUUCAGAUAUUGCAAACGCAUGUUAAAGAUUCAUUGCAAAUGCGAAGGAACUCACAUGUUUGUUGUCAUCGCAACUGCGAUGAUUUGUCCGCAAAUGCGAAUGCUGGAACUUUACAAGAGCGAUCAAAUGAUCGCAAUUUAAGAUCAAGUGAUCACAAUUGGACAUGAAUUUGACUUGAAAAAGUAUUGCAUUAUUAUGAGAGGAAAAUAUUGUUUACGUAAAAAAAGAUAAAGCUCAAUUUUUCAAUUUUGGAAAUUAUCUUCAAAAUAUUUUGAAUCUCGUCUUCAAAAAUUGAGGAGUCGUUUUGACAUAGGUUUUUUUUUCGAAAGAUAUUUUCAAAUCAGUGUUUGGUGAUACAUUUAACUGGAUAUUUGAAGAUGUGUUUCAAAUUUUUUAAAAUAUAUAACCCAACAUGAAGGAAAAAACAAGAAGGAGGUUUGGGGGUAACAUAUAUAAUAAAAUGGAAUGAAGUUGCAGUUGCCAAAUGUAUGGAAUAUAAUUCAAAAAGCUGACAACUUAUGGAUGAAAUGGAUCAACGAUGUCUACUUAAAGGAGAAGGAUUGAUGGAAAUAAUAAUGCCCCAUUGAUGCUUGCUGGUAUUGGAAGAAAAUAUGUAGAAUCAAGAAAAUAUUUGCUUCAGGCUAUAAUCACAACUUAUGGAGCAAUGCCAAUGGAAAGUACACAAUAAAGGGAUAACACACAUGGAGAAUGGGAGAAAAUGAGAACUGGCCAUGGAGAAGAUGGGUAUGGAAUAGCAUGAACCUACCCGAACACAACUUUAUUUGCAGAUCACUAUGCAUCAAAGGCUGCUGACAAAGUCCAGAUUGUAUAGCAUGAGCAUUAGACAAGAAGAUAGAUGUCCAAUAUGUGGAACAAAAGAGGAAACUGCCCAAUAUCUACUCUCUGAUUGUGUAUAUUCACAGCAAUGCUUACGGGAAGUGUUACAGUAGAUGAAUAUAGGCAUACAAAAUAUAGAGAUAACAGGGAUCUAGAGAAGAGUAACUAGACUACUUAAAUGGAGAAGAUGCAGGGAAGUUGACACUGCUAUAAUGGUUGUCUUGGUGUACUGUAUAUGGAAGGAAAUGAAUAAUAUUGUAUGGGAUUUCAAUAGUACUGGCUAUGGAAGGCAAAAUACAACACAAAC
rnacentral:lncRNA from 1 species